GGCCCUAUCGUCUAGUCGGCCUAGGACGUUGCGUUCUCAGCGCAUAAACAAGGGUUCAAAUCCCUUUAGGGCUA
rnacentral:tRNA from 1 species